AUUGAACGCUGGCGGCAGGCCUAACACAUGCAAGUCGAACGGUAACAGGAAGAAGCUUGCUUCUUUGCUGACGAGUGGCGGACGGGUGAGUAAUGUCUGGGAAACUGCCUGAUGGAGGGGGAUAACUACUGGAAACGGUAGCUAAUACCGCAUAACGUCGCAAGACCAAAAAGGGGGACCUUCGGGCCUCUUGCCAUCGGAUGUGCCCAGAUGGGAUUAGCUAGUAGGUGGGGUAACGGCUCACCUAGGCGACGAUCCCUAGCUGGUCUGAGAGGAUGACCAGCCACACUGGAACUGAGACACGGUCCAGACUCCUACGGGAGGCAGCAGUGGGGAAUAUUGCACAAUGGGGGCAAGCCUGAUGCAGCCAUGCCGCGUGUAUGAAGAAGGCCUUCGGGUUGUAAAGUACUUUCAGCGGGGAGGAAGGGAGUAAAGUUAAUACCUUUGCUCAUUGACGUUACCCGCAGAAGAAGCACCGGCUAACUCCGUG
rnacentral:rRNA from 1 species